rfam:Gossypium raimondii Chr08_contig_293, whole genome shotgun sequence.
ACCCUUUUAACUCAGUGGUAGUGUAUUGCUAUAGUAAGGCGUAAGUCAUUGGUUCAAAUCUGAUAAGGGGAU